ensembl:miRNA
AGUAGAGGCGGGGUUUCACCAUGUUGGUCAGGCUGGUCUCAAACUCCUGACCUCAGGUGAUCCACCCACC